CCAGAUACUGACACUCAGAUGUGAAAGCGUGGGGAGCAAAACAGGAUUAGAUACCCUGGUAGUGCACGCCGUAAACGAUGUCUACUUGGAGGUUGUGGCCUUGAGCCGUGGCUUUCGGAGCUAACGCGUUAAGUAGACCGCCUGGGGAGUACGGUCGCAAGAUUAAAACUCAAAUGAAUUGACGGGGGCCCGCACAAGCGGUGGAGCAUGUGGUUUAAUUCGAUGCAACGCGAAGAACCUUACCUACUCUUGACAUCUACAGAAGCCAGCGGAGACGCAGGUGUGCCUUCGGGAACUGUAAGACAGGUGCUGCAUGGCUGUCGUCAGCUCGUGUUGUGAAAUGUUGGGUUAAGUCCCGCAACGAGCGCAACCCUUAUCCUUGUUUGCCAGCACUUCGGGUGGGAACUCCAGGGAGACUGCCGGUGAUAAACCGGAGGAAGGUGGGGACGACGUCAAGUCAUCAUGGCCCUUACGAGUAGGGCUACACACGUGCUACAAUGGCGCAUACAGAGGGCGGCCAACUUGCGAAAGUGAGCGAAUCCCAAAAAGUGCGUCGUAGUCCGGAUUGGAGUCUGCAACUCGACUCCAUGAAGUCGGAAUCGCUAGUAAUCGUGGAUCAGAAUGCCACGGUGAAUACGUUCCCGGGCCUUGUACACACCGCCCGUCACACCAUGGGAGUGGGCUGCAAAAGAAGUGGGUAGUUUAACCUUCGGGAGGACGCUCACCACUUUGUGGUUCAUGACUGGGGUGAAGUCGUAACAAGGUAACCG
rnacentral:rRNA from 1 species